GCCCAAGUUGAUAAAAUUCCGCCACACAGCUUCGUCAAUCCCGUGAACACGCGAUCUGCCUUCGCAAAAUUCGAGUUGUCGGCGGUGAAUUCGCGUCGCCGUUGCUCCAACACCGCCACCGAUUUGAGCAGCCGCUGCUGAUAUUGUAUGCCUACUUUGUGAAGGUAGUAUUUUUGUGGAAAACUGAGAGAGAAGAAGCGAUGAAGUUCUGGGAUUGGUACUUGAAGAUAGCAGUUGGGUCAGCGAUGGUUGGAGGUUCAAUGGAGCUUUUCAUGAUCAAAACUGGUUUCUACGAUAAAGUAGCAGUUUUGGAGUCGGAGAAGAGGGCUUGGGAGAGUUCGCCUGAAGCUCAGGCCAUGAGAGACGCUCUCAAUCCUUGGCGGCAUCAGGAGAAGGAAGCCGAAAAGAGUUCCUAGUUGCGUUAGAAUGGUCCUGAGAAAGGUUUGCAUCUCUUCUACAGUGGAUGAAAUUUAUGAAAAACCAAUUCUCUUACAUUACACCCUCAGAGUUAUCUUCCCUUGUCUGCAGAAAGCAGGCAAUUUGUUCCAACGCAUAAUAUUCUGAAUUGAAAUUGGCAGAUCAUAAACUCAAUUACUGCCUUUGUUGCAGGCUUUAUUGUUGAAAUCGACUGACUGGUUUGAGUUAAGAUGACGAGUUUAUGUUGAUAGAUAUUUGUUUGAAUGCAUCAUGUCUUCAUACAUGAUGUCAUUCGCUCAUAACGCUUCUGCUAGCAUAGUAUUUCAGUUGAGUACACGUAUUGUUGAGAUACUAUUCCAUUCGAGUUUAUGUGACUUUGAAUCUAUUCAAGUUAUUUUCAUUAUUGCGAGCCA